rnacentral:lncRNA from 1 species
AACGGCGACUCUCAGUUCUACAACAUGCGAUGUGCAGUGCGCGACCUAAGAAGUGUUGUGCAAGGAGAUAGGCCGGUACAGUCGCUGCAGCAGUUUUGUGUUGUUCUGCAAUGGCUUGUGGUAUUUUUGUGGCGAUUUUACCGAUGUUUCUUGGUGGUUUUGUGGUGGUGCUGAUUGAUUUUGUGGUAGAGGUGUGGCAAUGUGAAGUCGGAGGGUGGUGGUGUGUUGUGGGUGGUGCGGUGUCCGAUGGUGGUGUAUUGUGGGCGUAGUGGUGUGGUGGUGUUAGGGUACGGUGGUGCUCAUGAUGGUGAUGGCAGGAGACGGUGGUGCUCAUGUUGGUGAGAUGGUGGUUUUGGAGGCGAUGGUGCCCAACUAUUAUGUGUUGUUGUCUGAUGAUGUUGGUGGUGGUUGUGGUGGCAGUGACGAGGUGGGAAUGUCUGUAACCAACUAUUUAGCCGUUUGUGACCAAAAAUUAGCGAUGGAUUAGCAUCAAGGUUGG